rnacentral:rRNA from 1 species
CCUACGGGUGACAGCAGUGGGGAAUAUUGCACAAUGGGGGAAACCCUGAUGCAGCGACGCCGCGUGAGUGAAGAAGUAUCUCGGUACGUAAAGCUCUAUCAGCAGGAAAGAAAAUGACGGUACCUGACUAAGAAGCCCCGGCUAACUACGUGCCAGCAGCCGCAGUAAUACGUCGGGGGCAAGCGUUAUCCGGAUUUACUGGGUGUAAAGGGAGCGUAGACGGCGCUGCAAGUCCGGAGUGAAAGCCCAUGGCUUAACCAUGGUACUGCGCUGGAAACUGUAGAGCUUGAGGGCGGGAGGGGCAGGCGGAAUGCGUAGUGUAGCGGUGAAAUGCGUAGAUAUUAGGAGGAACACCGGCGGCGAAGGCGGCCUGAUGGACCGUAACUGACGUUGAGGCUCGAAAGCGUGGGGAGCAAACAGGAUUAGAUACCCCUGUAGUC